AUAUCAAUAAGCGGAGGAAAAGAAACCAACAGGGAUUGCCUCAGUAACGGCGAGUGAAGCGGCAAAAGCUCAAAUUUGAAAUCUGGCUCUUUCAGGGUCCGAGUUGUAAUUUGUAGAAGAUGCUUUGGGUGUGGCUCCGGUCUAAGUUCCUUGGAACAGGACGUCAUAGAGGGUGAGAAUCCCGUAUGUGAUCGGUGGCCUUCGCCCGUGUAAAGCUCUUUCGACGAGUCGAGUUGUUUGGGAAUGCAGCUCAAAAUGGGUGGUAUAUUUCAUCUAAAGCUAAAUAUUGGCCAGAGACCGAUAGCGCACAAGUAGAGUGAUCGAAAGAUGAAAAGCACUUUGGAAAGAGAGUUAAACAGUACGUGAAAUUGUUGAAAGGGAAGCGCUUGCAAUCAGACUUGCAUGUAGUUGAUCAUCUAGUGUUCUCACUGGUGCACUCUGCUAUAUUCAGGCCAGCAUCGGUUUCGGUGGUUGGAUAAAGGCCUUGGGAACGUAGCUCCUCUCGGGGAGUGUUAUAGCCCUCGGUGCAAUGCAGCCUACCGGGACCGAGGACCGCGCUUCGGCUAGGAUGCUGGCGUAAUGGUUGUAAGCGA
rnacentral:rRNA from 1 species